CUCCUCUUUCAUUGAUGAUAUUUCCAUGGUCAAGCGAUAUGCUUCCGAGUCAUCCCAUGCAAUCCCGGUUUUCUCUGAUGAUGAAGCACUUUUAAAGGCUAGAAAAGAGGUCAAGAACGAUCGUGUACACUUUGUCUGGACACAGUUUUCCGAACUGAACUCCUAUUUCGGAAAACAAGCCGAGGAUGAUUUCAGAAAACUUCAAAGCUUAUAUUAAUUAUCCUAAAUUUCUUGUAAUUGUAUUUUUAUUUUUUAGAUUUUUUAUAGUUCAUACAUUCAUAUUAUGAUGUAUUGGUGAUGGUUAAUUAAAGGGAAAAUUAUUUAUAUA